rnacentral:rRNA from 1 species
GACGAACGCUGGCGGCGUGCUUAACACAUGCAAGUCGAACGGAAAGGCCCUGCUUUUGUGGGGUGCUCGAGUGGCUAACGGGUGAGUAACACGUGAGUAACCUGCCCUUGACUUUGGGAUAACUUCAGGAAACUGGGGCUAAUAACGGAUAGGAGCUCCUGCUUCAUGGUGGGGGUUGGAAAGUUUCGGCGGUUGGGGAUGGACUCGCGGCUUAUCAGCUUGUUGGUGGGGUAGUGGCUUACCAAGGCUUUGACGGGUAGCCGGCCUGAGAGGGUGACCGGCCACAUUGGGACUGAGAUAAGGCCCAGACUACUACGGGAGGCAGCAGUGGGGAAUAUUGCAAAAUGGGCGGAAGCAUGAUGCAGCAACGCCGCGUGCGGGAUGACGGCCUUCGGGUUGUAAACCGCUUUCGCCUGUGACGAAGCGUGAGUGACGGUAAUGGGUAAAGAAGCACCGGCUAACUACGUG